rnacentral:rRNA from 1 species
UACAGAGGAUGCAAGCGUUAUCCGGAAUGAUUGGGCGUAAAGCGUCUGUAGGUGGCUUUUUAAGUCCGCCGUCAAAUCCCAGGGCUCAACUCUGGACAGGCGGUGGAAACUACCAAGCUGGAGUACGGUAGGGGCAGAGGGAAUUUCCGGUGGAGCGGUGAAAUGCGUAGAGAUCAGGCAGAACACCUGGGGCGAAGGCGGCCAGCUGGGCCGUCCCUGACGCUGAGGCGCGAAGGCGUGGGGAGCGAACGGG